rnacentral:ncRNA from 1 species
UGCUAGGGCAUAGGGAAUUGCAAUUAUUUCCCUUGAACGAGGAAUUCCCAGUAAGCGCGAGUCAUUAGCUCGCGUUGAUUACGUCCCUGCCCUUUGUACACACCGCCCGUCGCUACUACCGAUUGAAUGGUUUAGUGAGGUCCUCCGAUUGGACCCGGUCCGGGCGGCGACGUCCGAGCCGGCGUCCGAGAAGACGAUCUAACUUGAUCAUUUAGAGGAAGUAAAAGUCGUAACAAGGUUUCCGUAGGUGAACCUGCGGAAGGAUCAUUA